AAAUUAGAGUGCCUUGGCCUCAGUUCAAGCCCCAGUACUGGCACACACACAUUAAAAAAAAAAAAAUCAUGCUUUGUGCUUUAUCUUGUUUCGCAGACCACAGAGAGGGACUUUAAAAGUAAAAGUGGGUAAUUUGGCAUGAAUCUAUAUUUUCAUAUUUGGUAAAGAAAUAAGUUUUAAAAUAUAUAGAAAAAACAAAAGGAUUAAUACCAAGAAUAUCUUUUUUAUAUUUUAAUAACCAGUAACCAGAUGUCUCACCCAAAGAAAGUAACAAAAUAGAGUAAAAUAAAUAUUAAGAAAAAUUAUUUUAAAGUAAUGGAAAAAAAUCCUUUCUUAUACAUUUUUGAUUUUAAGCUGUGUCCAGAAAAGAUAUGCACACCUCAAUUUUUGGAAACAUUCAUGGUAUUAUUUUCAGCACUCUGUAUUUUGAAUAAAGAAUAUUUUUUAAAAAAAUUAAAGCACAAUAUAAAACUAUUUGUUCACAAGGCAUCAAAUUUAACUUCCUAAAAUGCUCAUCCUAAACUAGGAAAAUAACAUUUCUAUUUCCAUGACUGACAGCCAUACUUUUUUUGCCAACUAUACACUAAGUGCUUUAAUGGCAUUGCAAUCUUUGAAAUUCAAAAGGCCUCUUUGGAUAUUUAAGUGAAAAGUGCCUCAUGGCUGAGUCUGCACCAGCCCUGGAUAUCUAAGUCCUUCUUAUCUCCAGACAGAGGGCAGGGGUGCUGUGAAGUCAGAGGAGGGAUGAAAAUUCAAAUCAUUUUAAAAGAUGCAAACCAUCUUCCAUAUACAUCUAUUUUCUUUCUAUAUGGUAAUGUGGGUGUAUGUGUGUACAAAUACGCAUAUGUAUGAGUAUAUGAAUAAACAUACAUAGAUGUAUAUUGAUAAAAUUUGUUCUUACUAGUAACUAGUUUCUUAAAGCUACUUACUAACUAAAAGCUGUAAAUACAGCUUCUCUGUGAAGCUAAUGAGAGUUCAAGAUUACAAGAGGCUGUGGUAGAAAAUUCAAGUAUGGCUAUUCAAUAAAGUAGGCCUCUAAGUAUUUUUUUUUUCUUGCUGCUUAGUUUUUUGGUAUACUGGGUUUGAACUCAGGGCCUCUGGCUAGCUAGAUAAGCAUUCUACCACUGGAACUACAACCCCACCUGGACUUUUUCUAAACAGCAGUUUUCUGUUCUUGUAAGAAAUAAGAUGUUCUUCGAUUAUUCCCAAGACUAUAAGCUGCUACUUUUACUGUCCUAUGAUAUGUAUAUAGAGCCAAGAGGAAAGGAGGAGGAUGUAAGAAGGGAAAAGGAAUAAAGUAGGAAAGAAGAGAGCGACUUCUUUCCUCAAUGGCUCGAGGGAGAAAAAAAAAAUCUAUUAACAUUUGGGAUAGUACUUGUUUUUUUUUCCUAGAAAAAAAAGGAGUUGUGUUGUGAUGGGCUAUUAGAAUU